GAAUUACUCUUUCGGCGAGACUGUGGCUAUCGGUGGCCUGGCCUCUUCUUGCUCGCACGUGUAUGUAGUCCUGCUUGGGUUUGGGAGUUUGAAGGGGUGAGUUGUUGGCGGCGGCGGCUACGGAAGUGGCGUCGGGUUGAGGAGGGCGCAACGCAGCGUUUUGGUGUGUCUCUGAGGGUGGUGAUAGCUUAACGUGUUUGUUACUGUUGGGAGAGUGAUUGUGAAGAAGAAGAGAAGAGGGUCUCUUGUUGGAAGAGGGGAAUUGCGAGGGCCAAAUCUCGGACAAGGAAGGGUUGGCCGAAGAGAAUGUGGCGUCGUUGACGAGCGGAGGUUCCAUUCAGAUUCAUUCAAUUGAAUUCUGUUAGAAUCGGUUCAGGGAGUGAGUGAGAAAGAAUAGUUGAAGGUGUUGAGAUUGGUGAUUUUGUUUGUUUAAAUAAUGCUAGAAUUGAGGUCUGAAAGGUUAGUUUCUGAUCUUUUCUGGUUCGACCUGGAGUGGUCUCAGUCUCCCACUGGAAACAACAAGCACCAAAGGUUUAAUGGCUUGCUUUCUCUCUGGUGAAAUGUAUCAAGUUCGUUCAGUCUUUAAAGUUGUAAUUUUAUUUACAUAUUAUUUAAAAGUGUC
rnacentral:sRNA from 1 species